rnacentral:snRNA from 1 species
CGAUCCUAAGAGUCGGGG